ensembl:antisense
CAAAUCCAAGGGCAGCCCCCUACCCCCAGGGAUCUUUAGAGAGGAACCGAGAAGUCAUCACCAGGCCCUCACAAUCCAAAAGAAACCACCAAGACUCACACGGUCCAUGGAGAAGGUUCUCACAGUACCAGGAAUGUCUGAGACACACAGUCUGGGCUGCCAGCAUUUCCCAGUGUUUCAGGAUCCUGAAGGCACAGAGAACGUUGAGAUCGAGGGACCUCCAGCGGGCUGGGUGAGCAGAGCAGAGGGGACUAGGGUCAGAAGCAGGAGGGUGUGGGUUGUGGGUGACAGGUACUUCACAGGGUCUCAAUUAUCGCUUGACUCUGCGACCAGCUGAGUUUCGUCCACUGCGUCGGUAGAGAGACUGCUGACUGCUGUUGAGUGGACAAUACUUGAGUGUAUGAGCCUGGUCGCCGGUGGCUCCACAUAGAGGACACACAUAGUGCCUCAGGAUGGGACACACAACCACCCCUUCAGGCGUCUUCAGCUGGUGUGAGGUGUAGACGUGACGAGACUCCCCGUUGUGCUUGCAGAAGUUGCAUAUGGUAGGCAGACAUCCAAGGUAGACCUCCAGGCCCUGCUCACUCUUCUCCUGGGGCCUGGAGUUGGGCUUCUCAGCUACCUCACCCUCCUGUCUUUGCUUCCGGCUCUGAAUUAUAUCCAUCACCACCUGGCUCAGGUUAAAGUAGUCUUUCCAUAGGUCAAAGGGCGGUAGGUCCAUGGCACUUAAAUGUGGCUGUGGGCACUGGAGACAGACUGGGGAGCAG